UGUGGAGGAGGAGGAGGAGGAGGAGAAGGGCGAUAAAUAAUGGGAGGGGGGAGGAGGAAGGAAAACAAUUAUCUGCGUUGGCGGAAGGCUCAUAAAGUGAAGAAUGAUAAACACCGUGAAAUACGAUUGACCCCAAGUGAUAUAUGGAAGCCGAAGGACAGGCGGCGAGUCUGUGUGCGUACAGAUAUCCUUGAAUUGAAAGGCUGCGAGCGAGAUGAGGACACGCUAUACUGCCCCCCCGAGUCUAACCACAUUUUUCAAUAUGUGUGUGUGUGUGUGUGCGUGUGCGUCUGCGUGUGUCACUCUUUUAGCAGACAACAGAUGACAUCGUUUCAUCGGCGGAGUGCUCCAGCGACGACGAGGACCUGGAGGAGUGCGACUCGGGACACGCAGCCAAAAGCUCUAAUGCCGCCCGACCGCUUCGUGCCGCCUUUACAUGGACAUGGCAACUGAUGUACACGUUCGCCUCCAUCUAUGUCAUUUCCUUCCUAGUACGUUCAUAGGUCCCACCCCGUCUCACGUCCCCCUCCUCUCGAAAAACCCGUUAAGUAGCGAUUCUAAGAUAUGUACAGUCAUCCAUUUGUUCACCACUGAUGAACGCCGUAAAGUCGAGCAGGGAAAAGAGAAAAAAAAAAAAAAAAAGUCACACGGUGAGGCUGUAGAUAUUUACAGAGAGGUUUAUCUAUUAAAGUAACACGUAUAGAUUUACUGUUUCCUUUAUAUAUAAAAGUCAACUAUGGUGAAAAGAACAAAAACAGAUAUCCUGAAGAGAUGGUGAGGAUUAUUUUUCAUGUCAUCGUGUGUGUGGAUGUAUGUGUUGUUGCCUCCCAUCCUGUCUCAAAAGAGGAAUAUAAACAUAUUAAUCAAGAAGUGUUAAACCAGAACUAACUGAACUUGUCCCAAAGCAUUCUUACACAACUUUCUUUUGUACAUUUUUUGUUUUCUUCCUGCCAAAAUCAUGCGGGCAAUUUGUUGAUGUAAGUUGACAAAACCGAUGGUAUGCUUUCUUCCUUUGAAAACUUUUCUAGGCCUUAUGAUUUUGUAUUUUUUCUCAGCUGAGUUUCUUUUGAGUUCUUCUUUUUUUUUUUCUUACGUACUAAUCCCUUUUCUUAAUAGCUCUAUCUGUGGCUUUUUCUUUGUGAAUGUUUCUACGAUGUUUGCUCUAACUCUGAACUCUCCGCAACGCAUUUGCCAAUUUUCUUUUCCGUUUAUUUCCUUUUCCGUCUCCAUUUUGUUCUAUUCUUUGUUUUUGUUUUUUCGUUGUCUUCUUUUACUUUACUGUUCCGAAAAGGUUUGCAUCUCCUUCUAGUGCCCUGUUUGUGAGCCUUUGCAAUGUACAAAGAAGCCGCUGUGGCGCGAGGAAAGGCAGGUUCAACAGACAUCUGAAUGUUUCACACAGUUAACGUUGGGACACGUUUGGGGGGUUGAUUGGAGAACGGGUGGCGUGUGGUGACGUCAAACGCAGCACACGCUCCUCUGAGAACCGACUCUCAGACUGAACACGGCAAACAUUCAGGUGUCACUGAACUGCCAAGUGACUUUGUGCAAUUGUGGUAACUGUAGGGGUCAAAAGGCAAGAGGCUAGGGCCAAUAGGGGAGCCUAAUAUUGCACCAGAGCAGUGUAUUCCCUCCAUUAGUUUUCUACUGCUUUCUGUUUUCUAUGUGACAGUUGUCAGUGGUGUUGGUGCAGCGGGGCUCAGAGCCCCCUCUCUGUGCAGCUCUACGAUUCACAUUACAGACAUUUCAAACCCAGUUCGACUUUCCUUUAGAUCUGCUGGCUCGCAUUCGAAUCGCAAACAAACCCUGACACCCCCGGCUCGCGUUUUAUUCUCCGACCGUACACUCCGGUGUGCGGAGAUAAAAUAAACUGAAUAAAGAUGCCUGUUAAAAGCACAUUUAGAAAAAUGUGAAACCUGAGUUUAGUCUAGUCUCUGAGUCAUAGGUCAUUUAAUGUACUCCAAAUAUCCAAGAAGCAAAAAUAAUCCUGAAUAGUUUACAGUGCAGUAUAAAGAGAAGGAGCCAGGAUGUAGCAUCCAGGAUUUUGCAGUAAUUUCACUGUGGCUCGCCCUUGUGCAUCCCUCACAGCCUUUUGAUGCAAAGUAUACAGUCUUUUAUUAAUGGCUGGUGUUCUUGUUUGGUUUCUGAGGUUCAAUGUUUUUGCACUGGUCGACUCUUCUGUUCUUUGAUUUCUUUAUUUCCUUUCUUUUCAGUUGACUUCUCCCUAUGUUGAGCUUUUUUUCCAUUCUUUGAUUAUUGGUUCUUGGUGUCGGCUUCUUGCUCUGCUGAUCAAACACUGG